GAGGGUAUAGCUCAGUGGUAGAGUGUGUGCUUAGCAUGCAUGAAGUACUGGGUUCAAUCCCCAGUACCUCUA
rnacentral:tRNA from 1 species